GGUACGGCCGGACGCCCGCAUACACUUGCGGAGCCCUGUGGCAGGGGCGUGCCAUUUAUAAACCGUAAGUAGUGGAGA
ncrna:Serratia sp. AS9 KDPG-aldolase RNA